UACGAAGGGGGCGAGCGUUGUUCGGAAUUACUGGGCAUAAAGCGCACGUAGGCGGCAUAUCAAGUUAGGAGUGAAAGCCCCGGGCUUAACCCGGGAACCGCUCUUAAUACUGAUGUGCUUGAGUAUGGGAGAGGAUAGCGGAAUUCCCAGUGUAGAGGUGAAAUUCGUAGAUAUUGGGAGGAACACCAGUGACGAAAGUGGCUAUCUGGACCAUUACUGACGCUGAGGUGCGAAAGCGUGGGGAUCAAACAGG
rnacentral:rRNA from 1 species